UAUUUUUCUUUUUGAGUUUGGUUUUAGUUACGAGAGACAGAAACAACUUAAAGCAUGCAUAAUAUUAUAGAGACAAAAUCGGUGAACGUUUCGUGCUGCCGUAAUCACUUAAAUGAUCCCACCUGUUCUCAAAGGCUUUCUCAUUCGCUUCUAUCCCCUCCGAAAAUUUACUGAAUUUCACCCUUAAUUGUGCAAAACAAAAUCCAUCCCGUAGCAGAGGGCACCGGCUGUAGAUCCCCCUCUCAAGGACAGGAGGCAGCCCUCACUGUGGGGCUGGGCUCCCCUUUCGUACUCGUCUGCUCGGAGCAGGGUCAUACCCUACCAUCCAGGUGCGGACGGACCCGUCCGAGCCGCCCCUGCCACACAGGAACAAGAACGUGAAGAACUUAACAGAGAGGUGAACGGCAACGUGUUAGCUAAAGCAGAAGACUAUCUCAAAUCACUUCUCGCUGAUGCUUUUAAGGGGAAAGGAUUUCAGGAAAUAGGUGAACUGCUUCAGGAGAGAGAAUCUCCUCAGAAAUACAGGAAAUC